CGCCACCCAGGCGCGCGGUGGGCAGCCCCGACCCGGAAGUGGGCCUGGCGGCCCCCUUCGGUUGCUAAGCAACGCCGGCGCCCCAGCCUCGGUCCUUCCCGGUGCAGAAAACAACAAGCCUCAAGCCUGCACCAAGCCUGCUGUGCAUCAACUGUGACGAGCCUGGAGUUGUAACUUCAGUCCUGGAUGCAAGACUGAAAGUGCUUGAUGCCAACCUGAGACAGGUAACAGUUCAGAGUAUGACAUAUCUAAGGGGACAUUCAAGUGUACAAUCAAGUAGAAGAAAGGAUCCAGACCUUAGACCAAAGAGGAGCACAGUGUUAGAAAUAUGGGCAUCUUCUCCAGAACCUCAAUAGUUUGCCUGGCAUUUCUGUAUGUCUGGUCAUCAGCUCUGUAUCUGAUAGUAGUUUUACUGAGGAACUUCAUUAACUGCUUUUGCCAGUGAAAUGCUUUUGCAAGUGAACAGUGUUAUUACUUAACCUUUCUCCUUGGACCUUUAUACACUACACACCUGCCGGUAACAGUGGAAAUGGUUCAGUUCUUCAUACUGUAGUGAAGACACACUCAGAAACCACACUGAAGAACUACUCUGUUACUAGGAGAAGCACUAUCCUUCUCUGCAAUAGGCACAAACACCAACAUAACAAAAUAAAUAUAUUUAGCAAAAUGAAGCAAGCAAGAAAAGCACAGCACCAGGGAAGAGACACACAGUAGAAUUUGCAGUCCUAGGUAACCAGAGUAUUUUCCUCCUACUCCUCUUCAUUGGGAAUGCCUGUUCCAACGUGAGCCUAUUUCACAAGCAUUUUGAGGAACCCACUUCUCUCAGACAUCCUAGAGAGCAUAUAUUCUCCAAACAACCUUUCAAAAGCACAUAUAGAAAAUGAACAUUAAAAGGGUAUGAGAAGAACUCAAGAUGUAACAACUACCUCAGAAAAAAACCCUUACACUAGGAUUUUAAGAAAGUUGCCUGGUCCACAGAUCAGGCCUACCUCCCCCUGUUUGAGUCCUACCAAACAGAUCUGAGAGAAUGCACUAUUUCCUUAGGACAGCAUCAUCAUUUGCACACCUCUUUAAUGGGAUCUUUCUUUAGUGGAAGAAGAUAAGAGGUAUGAUUGUAUCUACUAAAUUACUGUUAGGGUAGCCACAGGCUUGAAGAGUUGGGUUGUCUUUUACCAAUUCCUCAAUACACAAGUCUUUCAAAUAACUUAAAAAUAGUCACACUGCUUACAGCAAUCAAAACAUGAAACAGAGUCCUCAAAAUGAGAUAGUCUGUGUUUUCUCAAAAAAAUCUAAGACAACUAGGAGGAAGACAUUAAUCUCAGUGGUUGCACCAAGGAAGACUAAUGCAGAAAUGGAUUUAUAUUUUCCUUCUUAAACAAAAUAAAUACAGAAAGUACAUACAAGUAGCCAAAGAAAUAUCACAGAUGAGAAAGGCUUCCCCCAUCCUCUUCUCACAGUGUAAAACAGUCCUUUCCAUGUAACAGCUAAGUCAGAAGCAUAUGCCACUGAGAAUGGAACUUCAUAGACAAGCUCAUGACAGGACAAAGCAAGGUUUGCUCAGUCUCUUAGGGAUCAGUGAUUUGCUGUGAGGGUGAUACAACCCACGGCUCAACAGCACUGUUUUGUAAACAAUAAAACUAAAUGCUUCCUUCUGUGCCGUGUGGCUGCCCACAAGUGCUGCUUUCCUACCCUGCCAACAGGACAUUCCACUAAUUCAGAUAGCAGCACUUCUGAAGAGGCAGAGAUUCCUCUCUGCUGCUGACAAUAACUAUAUGUGUUUCUGAAGUCAUUGCUGAUAACUUCUGGAUGUGCCCUUCCCAAUUCUAAAACCCUUUAGGCAAACACCAGAAGAGGGAACAAAUGACAGACACUAUAUGAAAAGAGCACUAGCUAAGAAAUUCUGGAAAAUUUAAUCUUCUCCAUCCCUAUCUAACAGAAAAUGAGUAACAUCAACAGAGAAAAUGGAUGGCCAGCAGCUCAGCGUACAAUGCUUUUAAGCAUUUAAGACUGAUAGGGUCCAUAACCCAACCUUUGUUACCUUUACUGCCGGAGGCCUGGGAUGACUCUAGCCACUCUGAAAUUUGAGAGGAAAACCCACGUUGGCACUUUUUGCUGAUAUACCUCUACUGCCUGCUGGUGAUGGCGGCCAAGUUCUCAAAUAGCUUGGGCCAUCCCUUCUGCUGCCUGAAAUAAGGGAAGCCGAUGUACACAUUUAAACAUGUCAUUCACUAAGGAAAGGGCAGUGACACAUACAAACUGUUACAUGACACCGAGCAGGUCACAAGUGAUCAUGGAAGCCUAGGCUUUGUAUGUCAACCAUCUAGCAUAAUGGUAGCCUGUUCUCUCACAAUCCCAAUUUUGUUUGAGAUCAAGCUUCUCUACAUUCAUCUUAAAAAUAAGGUAAUUCCAAAUGCUGCUAGUUCUCAGCUCCCACGUCUUCAGAGUCUGUCCUUCCAGAUGUCCAGUCCACUCGUCCAGCAGCAGUCAACCAAACACCAUUAGGCUGGUUCUGGGCAGCACAUGGGCAAACAGGACUGCAGUAGCAGUGUUUAGAUCAUGUAGUAGCUUUCACGAUAGUAAGAAUCCUCCUCAGAGUCCUCACUGUCACAGCUGCUCAUCGACAAGAUGGAGUAGAUGGAAGAAAUUACACUGCUGUCAUUGUCUGUGGCUGGUUUCACCAACACAUUCUGUUUCUCUGCAUUCAAAACACACAAAUGCAAAAGUUAGCGGUGACCACUGUACCCACAAAUGCUACAUUACUAGUUCUCUUUGAAACUUACAGCCCUUCACUGUCAGUUUUCAAUAGGUCUUUGAAGCUGCAGGGCACAGGCCUUUUUCUUUUCAAUUUUCAGCGUUAAAAGAACAAAGGGUUGGGGUUUUUGUUUGUUUGUUUUCUUAAGUUUCCUGUAUGUCUCUUCCUGUUACGAUAGCACAGAUGAGAAGGUGACAUUCUCCAUCCCUUUGCUGACACAUAACUGGCAAUGGAAGUGGCUAACUGUUACAGUACUUUGCCAGGUAAGAAAGAGGAAAGGAACAAAAUAUGGUAAGGAGCUCUCAAACAAGUAACGGUUAUUCAGGACACUUAUAGCCUCAUCAAAACCUCCAUACACUUAAGACUGCAAGCUUACCUACUGGUAUCCAUUCUACUAAGGCUCUUGGGAAGGGCUUCUUGGGAAGCUCUGACUGAGGUUCUCAAGUGCCAUUUUCAUCAUUACUUCUCUUUCAGCUGUUUUAUUCUUAGGAAUUCAUGUUUAAAUAGACACGUGGUUAUCUUCACCUCAAUCAAAAUGUUUCCAUCACUGAUUAAAAAGACUGCACAGAAACAAUUCACCCUUCCUCCUUAAGUGUGUAACGUGUGUCAUGGUGAAGCUAAAUGAUUUCCUAAUAGUCAUUUAUAUAAUUAGAGCAUCUAUCACUUAUGAUAGGCUACGAGCUUAUUUCCUUUUUGUUCAAACAAGCGUGAAGACCACGGGUUUACCAUACAGAAAUGAAGUGGGCUCCAACGAAGGCACCACUUCAUCUCAUCACCAUUAGCUACCUGAUGAGAUAUUUCAGUAGUGCUAUGGCAUACUCUGCAGCUGCACAUGUUACACAAGAGCAGUGUCAGUUCUGCAAAGGUUGAGAGCAAUUCACAAAGCCGAGCUGGGCAGCCUCUGUACAGCAUAGCCUUUCCUGAGGGAAUCAGACUGAGUUGGUUAAGUAAGUUAUGAUUUCAGGUUUGAACUAACACUGCUUAGUGACAUUGUUCUGUGUCACCAUGGAGAAUCGGGAACGUUUCAAAAGCACCUUUCAUUAGGUAAGAGGCUUGACACAUUGCAAAAUGAAGGAUCAUGCGCUCACCUCUAUGACGGGAAAACAAGACAAUUACUUAAGGGAACUCAGCAACAGAAAUUUAUUAAGGGGUAGUAGGAAAAGACUUCUACAUUUCAGCACCUAGAUACCAGUGUCAAGUGCUCUAGAAACAAAUUUGGAAAACUGAAGCAUAACAAGAACACCCCAUACCGGAGUUUUACCUAAUGCCAUGACUUGUCAGGCAGUCUUUUAGCUACAACUAGGCAAGAGAUCAUGCAUUUAAGCACAGUGGCUUUAAUGCCACAAAAAUUAACAUGGUAGAGCAACUGCCAGUUCAGCGAUACACUUACAUGACACACCAAUGUUCCCUUCAGAGAUUUACUGCACAUAUCUAGCACAUAAAAGAGAAUUCAGAGUUUCUCAUCAGGCACUGCUCUGCUGAGUUUUUGCAAUGAUGUAGUCAAUAGUUUAAUCAAAAGGUGCCUGGUAAUUUUUUCAAGGACCAUUCUGUAUAGUUUUGCUUUUAUUUAGUGAUCUCUUUGAAACAGCAUAACCCUUAACACAGUAAAAUUGUCCCACUUGACUGUGGAAUUCAUACCAAAGUCUUUUUCCAAACUUUUUAUUAAUUUUAUUUUACUGUAUAAUAAAGCGAGUUACACAACCUA